GAUGAACGCUGGCGGCGUGCUUAACACAUGCAAGUCGAACGAAGCACUUUAUUUGAUUUCCUUCGGGACUGAUUAUUUUGUGACUGAGUGGCGGACGGGUGAGUAACGCGUGGGUAACCUGCCUUGUACAGGGGGAUAACAGUUGGAAACGGCUGCUAAUACCGCAUAAGCGCACGGCAUCGCAUGAUGCAGUGUGAAAAACUCCGGUGGUAUAAGAUGGACCCGCGUUGGAUUAGCUAGUUGGUGAGGUAACGGCCCACCAAGGCGACGAUCCAUAGCCGACCUGAGAGGGUGACCGGCCACAUUGGGACUGAGACACGGCCCAAACUCCUACGGGAGGCAGCAGUGGGGAAUAUUGCACAAUGGGCGAAAGCCUGAAGCAGCGACGCCGCGUGAGCGAAGAAGUAUUUCGGUAUGUAAAGCUCUAUCAGCAGGGAAGAUAAUGACGGUACCUGACUAAGAAGCACCGGCUAAAUACGUG
rnacentral:rRNA from 1 species